AAUUUAUGAGUUCAGUUCUUUGGGCUCAAGGGAUAAGCCUACCCAUACACGCUGAGUCAGCAAGAUGAGGGUGUGGGAGUUGGUUGCAGUGGGGGGACCUGGUGGACAUUCAGAAGUAGAUUUCCACCUCAUUCACCUUGUCCCCAGAUUGUACCCUCACUGUACCAUCUCCCUUGUACCACACACACACACAGAGUCACAUGCCCCUUUUAAGCCUUUUCAUUACCUGCUCCCCACUCCUCAUGGUGGGGGGCUUGCUUCUUCAGAUCCUGACGUGGGUGUCUCUACAAAUACAAUGCCGAUAAGGACAUCUAGGAUAAGUUAUAGCCUUAUCUUGCUAGAAGAGUGCUUCUCUCCAAACUUGAGAUACUAUGCAAAAGCCUUCUCUGCAUCCCUCAGCCCCAGGAGCCCCCAGGUUCCAGAAAAAGGAAACUUGGCUGGCUAGGAAAGCUUUUGAGGUUAAUCACUGUUAAGUGGUCUGUCCACUUAAAGAGGUGGAGCCGCUCAUUCCAGAAGCUAAGGAGGAGGAAGGCAGGAAGGCAGUUAGGAGGUAGGAGGAAAGCAGGAAGUGAGAGAGAAGGAGAGAGGGAAAGAAAUGAAGGAAGGGAAAUGAAGGAGAAGGCAAGGCAACACCCCUUUCUGCCCCUCUAUGUCACAGGCUGUUUUAUAGGGUAGCCUGAGGCACAUAAGCUCCUCUCAGGACUUUUGCCUUUGCUGUUCCUUAACCUCAGAAUGCUCUUCCACCAGGCUGUGUGGCUGAAUCCCUUGUUCCCUUUAGCCUGUGCCGGAAGGUCACCUUGCUCAAAGACAUUUCCCAAGAGCCUCUGACCCCUUAUCCUGCUUUAUUCUUCAUCUGCAGACUCCUCACUACCUGCUGCAUUCUGUAGUUAUCUGCUUAUUGUCUAUGGUUCCUGUACUAAGAUGCCAGCUCAGUGUAAGCACAGUUUGGUUUAGUGCUGUCCCCAGAACAGUUUCUGGCAACAUCACAGCAGCUCUGUAAGUGCUUGUUGAACAAAAAGUAGAGAUACAGGCUUCUGUGGAACUUUACCGCUGUCUCUAGGAAUCCCUUUAUUAGUUUAAAGCGCAUAAGAUGGGGACUGAGGUAUUAGGGCUCUGAUGUGUGGUCUUCAGCUAAAAUAAUAAACAACAGAACUAAGCUAGGCACUCCUUGCUUUGUGGACCCCCAGGUGCUUCCUGGCAGAUACAUUUCCUUCUGAUUGUCAUUAAUGAGGGAGAAGGCAUAUUGCCUGGAGUGGGAAUGAUCAAGGGCUAAUCUUUCAGACACUGCAAGCCUUUUGGGAAUACUAAGUAAAUGUAUAUAAAGCAAAGCAACUGGAGACCCUGUUCUUUGGGCCCCAUCCCUUAUAGUUCAUCUCCAGGUAAGUGGAGGUCUUGGUUGGACUGGUGGGCAAAGCACUUCAAGUUUCUGCAAUAACGUGGACAGAAAAACAUCUGCUUUGAAAUCCCAGAAUAAAGAAUAGAUGACCCAAGAUCAGACAAAGGGGAGUCCGCAUGUGAGAGAGUCAAUUAAUUUGAAUGGAACAUCCCACUUGGGGUUUGGUUUCAUCUGCAAAACGCCUUGUUUGUUCCAUUCAUUGUGAUUCCCCCUGACUGCUGCAGGGAACUUGCAUUUUAUUCAAAGUAAAUAUUCCAGUAGAUGUAAUCCAAGCAGAACACAUGAACACUAUAGAGAUGAGAUCUGAUGCGUUUCUCCCACGCUGGGAUUUGACAUUUUAUGGUGGAGGAGGAGGGUUGGGAAGGUGGAAUUGUGCUUUUGAAAUGAGCACUCUCUUGUCUCUAAAUUGAUUUUUAAUGUGUCUCCACCUCCAGCCCCAUCAGUUGUCUCAGGCUGAAAAAUAAAAAUUUUCCUUCCAAGUAGUCUCCCCACUCCACCACCUAAUAUAGAAAUUUUGGUAUUUUUCUAGCUGUUUGUAUCUUUUUUGCAUUUUAUUUUCACACUUGGAUAUGCUCCUUUCUCAUUUCAUUAACCUGCAAGAUUUUCAUGUCUUUUCCUUAAACUUAAUGGACAUCUAAGGGAGAUUUGGCAGCUGUGAUGUGCUCCCUGUCAAGAAAGUCAUGUCUAAGACAGAGGGGUCAUUCAAAUCAAAGACAAGCUGAAUAGCUGGUAGAGAAGGUCAAUGGCUUUAGAAUGGCUUAAUAUUUUAUUUUAUUUUUUAAAAUUUACCCUUCCCAUAGGGUCAAGUAGAAAAGGUCAUCCUGCUGUGCAAAUCCAGAGCAUCCUCUUUGUGCAAAACCGUUGACCGCAGGACUGAAAUAUUUCUGUCAUUGUUUCCACCUGAGGUUUGAGUCAGAACCCUUUUCUGAACACCUGCUCUAUGCCCAGGGCUCUGCUGUGCAGUAGGGACAGGGGCUCAGAGGAAGGAAAGAUAUGACAUAAUCCUUUGGCAUUCCCAAGUGGCCUCUGUACCAGAGACUGCUCAUGAAUGCCCUAGAAUAUGUGUUCCUAGCUCAGUCUUGUGCCCUCCAGGCUGCUCUCCCCACAGCAGUCCAAGGGGCCUUCCAAAAACAGUCAGAUGGGGCCAGGGUGAGGGGAACAUUAUCCUGCUUGAAACCCUCCGUUGUCUCCUACUGUGUAACACAGGAUAAAAUCCAACAUUUCUAGUAUGACUUACCCCUACCUUCCUCUCCAGCCCCAUCCCUCACCUCUCAUUUAGAGCACCAACUGUAAGCAACAUUCCUCCUUCCUCCAACACACCUGUCCCCUUGCUCUCAGACUCUCCAACCUUCUCUCGGCCUUUGCAUAUGCCCUUUCUUCUGCCUCACACUCCUAACUUACUCCUUCCUUGCCCUUUGUCACCUGAGAAACUGUUCAUUGUUCCUUCUUCAGACCAGGUUAGGUCAGCUUCUAUGUGUUCCACACAAGAAUCUUCAACUCAGUAGUUCGCAUUGUGGCUCAGUGGAAAUAUAUCUGACUAGCAUUCAUGAGGAUGCCGGUUCAAUCCCUGGCCUCGAUCAGUGGGUUAAGGAUCCAUCGUUGCCGUGAGCUGUGGUAUGUGGCUUGGAUCCCACGUUCCUGUGGCUGUGGCUGGCAGCUACAGCUCUGAUUUGACCCCUAGCCUGGGAACUUCCAUAUGCUGCAG
rnacentral:lncRNA from 1 species